ensembl:lncRNA
GCUUAUAGCCUGAAGAAGAGUCAAAAUAACUCGAAACGUUGCUAUCUUUCAUUUCGCUAUUUUGGUUUUUAAUAUUUUGUCCUUUUUGCCUUAAUAAAAAGUUAAAAAGGAGCUAGAGACUCGGAAAACUUUUUUGAGGCGUAAAAAAGCAGUGCACGCUAAUUAAACGGAUUGAGCAUGACGCGGUGGGACCGAGCCGACGACGACGGGUGGGUCUUGGUGUCCAGGGGCAGACGUCGUCGGAGACCGGACCGCAGCCCGGUAUGGUACGCCAAACCCACUUCCCCACGGAGAGGUAGGGAAGUUUCCCGAAAGCGCCGGAGAAAUGAGUCCGACCGCAGGGCGCGCGCACCGGACGACGGCCGGGAAACUAGUUAUCCGUCUCGCUGGCACCGCACCCCGUCUUACGACGGUCGCCGUACGUACGUCUCGGUAACCAGGGGCUACCGUACGGACGAUUAUGAUGACAUCACCCGAGCUCCACAACAGCAGCGCGCGGAGCAGCACAGAGACACACGGCGCGUGGACGACAACAGACCGGGGGACCGCGGACGCGCACCACCGCAACAGAGACCCGUUCCUCAACGUGAUGAAAGACGGGGAGAGAAUGACGGCGGACAGAGGGGAAGGUUCCAAAACUUCCCAGACAGGAUGCGCACUCGACCGGAACGCAAUAGGGAAGGACGUAGAGGACCUUUCCAAGCUGUCAGACGCAGAUUGGCGUCCCCCAUUUGAAGUGGCCUCUACCUGGGCCAGGAGAAACCUGGGCCGCAGAUUGGCACAGGGGACUCUGACGGAAGCAAUGGCGGUGGUCGUCAAUGGAUUGGAGCGGGCCCGGGGUCUUGCGAACCCAACGGCACCACAACAACCGGUCCGACAGGACGACACAUCGGGGGACAGGCCACUGCGCAGACGACCAAACCAGCGCCUCAACACAACUGCAGCAGCGGCCCGAGACACAGCACAACGACAGGCUGCAGCAGAGACUCCUCUCAGAACGGGGCGGAGCGCUCCAGCCUCAUCUUCAGUGGUGGCACAGGUGCACGCUACAGCCGCAGGUAACUCCCCAGCACUACUAAGAACACCUGACACACCUCAACGCACCACACAGGAGGAGGAAGAGGAGGAUGGAGGAGCAGGAAGACGUGGUGGGGAUUGAAGAGGAGGAGGAGAUGGAAGAAGAAGAGGAGGAGGAAGAGGUGGAGUCGGACGCCUCACCGGAGAGACAUAAUUGGUCACCGGACGUCGGGAUAAACUGGGAAGAGUCCCGGAACGUGGUUCGAGAGCAACCACGGGAGCAUGCCGAUACGACCAGAAAAAUUAAAGACUGGCACCUGAACAUUAGAAAAAAGUGGGCGGUCAUUGGGGAUUCUAAUAUUCAUAGAAUGCCACGCCAUAGCAUCACUGACUUACAAAUUGACUCUUUCCCGGGUGCCACUUCCAGACACGCUCAGGGCAUCCUGGAGAACACCACAGCAUCCUGUGCAGUGGAGAAGAUUAUAUUGUGUUUUGGUUUGUGCAAUAAAGAUCAGAAAGCUAAGGAAACAGCUGUUAAACAAUUGCAAGGUCUCUAAGAACGGCUAAACUUCGCUUUCCUCGUGCAGAAAUCUUUGUCCCUCAGGUGAACUUCUCAGAUGACCUGCCCAUCAGAGAGAAGGCCAACCUAACGCAGCUGAACGCAUACAUCGGGUCCAUGGGUGAGUGCAUUCCCAGUUUACCUGAAGCUGCAUUCCGGACACAGGCGGACGGGGUUCACUGGACGUCAGAGACGGCUAAGGCCAUGUUUGAACACUGGAAGGCUUAUUUAAAUUAAAUGUCCCCAGAAGCCUGCUUACGCAGGAGGGGAAUAAAUCAGUUAUUAAUUAAAAGUACAAGCAGCCCAAAUUCGGUAGAUUUUUUGAACACGACAACGUUUAAGGAAAAGGGUUUUAUAAAUUCAGUUUUCAUCCGUGACAUAAUAUUCACAAAGUUGUGUAAACUUACAACUAUUCAGAUUCCACCGACAAUGCUUCAAACUAUGUGAUUUUGACAAAGCAGUUGAAACGUCAUGUUACGCAUUAGCCACUAGAGGGAACUCCAGGGAUCCUCAAAUCCCUUGUGUUUAUUUAAUAUCCUGUGAGUGGUGGGACAUGCAGUAUGUUGGGGAGACUGGGAAUGCACUCUCCAUCAGAUUUACACAACACAAACACAACAUCCUCAACCACAAGAAAACAUACACACCAUUAGUAAAGCAGUUUAUUGAACACAAAUGGAGGUUAUUGUCAAUAACAAUUGUUGAAUCUUGAGCCAGGUGGACCAUAAUCCAGAGACGAACUGCAGAGAGGAAAUGGAUCGCGAAGCUUAACACAAAGCAGCCACAUGGGCUGAACGAACAUUGAGGGUCCUGGAGUUGGGCCUAGCGAUGGACAGUACACUGGGAGCGGUGUUGCCCUGGCAAAACGGCUGCCCCAAACCCCUAACCC